ensembl:rRNA 5S_rRNA 5S ribosomal RNA
GUCUAUGGCCAUACCACCUUGAACACACCCAAUCUUGUCUGAUCGCAUAAGCUAAGCAGGGUUGGGCCUGGUUAGUAUUUGAAUGGGAGAAAUGAACUUGGGGAUCUUUUCUGAAUUCUCCAGAAGUCACUGGCC